rnacentral:lncRNA from 1 species
GUCCAUUCCGUAAAAAAAAAAAAAACCCUGAAAUUUCUGAAUUACCAUUCCAAGCAAGCUGCAAAAUACACCAAAACAAUUCCAUAUUCCAUAUAACCAACAACAAGCACAUAAAAGUAUAUAAUUCGUGAACUACAGAAAAUCUAAAUCGUCUAAAUUAAUAUCCGCUUCUGGGGGCUGCUGCGGAGGUUGCGGCGGCUGGGGUAGCGGCAUGGGCGGAGGCAUGGGCGGAGGCGGAAGUCCCUGAAGCUGGGCAGCUGUAAAGUCCUGCAUGUACUGGAACAUCUGCUGCUGCUGGGCCUGCUGGAUGGCAUGUAUCUCGGCAACAUAGGCUGCCUGCGCAGCAUUAUAGGCUGCCUGCGAGGCAUUAUAGGCAGCCUGAGCAGCUUGCUGUUCUCGUAGUCUCUGAACUUCCGACUCUAGCUGAGUCGUCCUGGUGAUCGUGGACGUGGUCCUGCUGCUGGUCGAGGCUGCCUUUCGUUGAAAUCCUGGAGUGGUCUUCAGGACCCCCUCGCCUUUCUUUCCUAGACCCUGGCAGUAGAAGUUGUUUGCUCUCGGUGGGAAGGCUGUGCCCAUAAUCCUCGCCCCAAUCGUCGGAUCCGAAGUGUCGAUCCGGGACAUGGCUUCGGACAUCUCUUCCUCCUGCGUGUCCGGCCAUGUCUCCCUCACUAUAGCACUCAUCACCUCCUCACUAGCCUCCCUCACCUUCGCCUAUAUGGAUACGAAAAAAAUUAUUAAUUAACAUUUUGACAUAAAUUUAAAAAUUUAAAAACAUAAGAUCGAUGACUUACAAUAUCCUCCUGGGAGUCAGGAUAUGCCUUCUCGUACGUAUAGACGUACCGGUUGACUUCUGGAUGUUCCCUGGCGGCCUCGUCCAUGAAGACAGCGAACGGUCUAGAACCGCCAUGAUGGUUCCUUGUGUUGCGUUGCCGGUUCUGAGAGUUUGCUCGGGGAAAACGGCCUUCAAAAGAAAAAAAUAAAUUAUUAGUAAAAUAUUUAAAAAACGGACGUAACUUAAUGACAAAUUAACUAAUAAUUUUUUAAAUACCUGUUUACGAGGGUUGUUGAAUUCUGAUGUCAGAAGCCAACGCCACUCGUACUCCCUAUACUGGAACUCAGCAGGGGUACCAGAACGUGCGUUCCCGUGCG